rnacentral:rRNA from 1 species
GACGUAGGAGGCGAGCGUUGUCCGGAUUCAUUGGGCGUAAAGAGCGCGCAGGCGGCUUGGUAAGUCGGAUGUGAAAACCCGAGGCUCAACCUCGGGCGUGCAUCCGAAACUGCUCGGCUAGAGGUAGGUAGGGGAGAUCGGAAUUCCUGGUGUAGCGGUGAAAUGCGCAGAUAUCAGGAGGAACACCGGUGGCGAAGGCGGAUCUCUGGGCCUUACCUGACGCUCAGGCGCGAAAGCCAGGGGAGCGAACUGG